rnacentral:miRNA from 1 species
GGUGGGGGCGGUUGUAU